rnacentral:rRNA from 1 species
AACGAACGCUGGCGGCAGGCCUAACACAUGCAAGUCGAACGAUAAGCCACCUUCGGGUGGUGGACAGUGGCAGACGGGUGAGUAACGCGUGGGAACGUGCCUUUCGGUUCGGAAUAACCCAGGGAAACUUGGGCUAAUACCGGAUACGCCCUUCGGGGGAAAGAUUCAUUGCCGAAAGAACGGCCCGCGUCGGAUUAGCUUGUUGGUGGGGUAACGGCUAACCAAGGCGACGAUCCGUAGCUGGUCUGAGAGGAGGACCAGCCACACGGGGACUGAGACACGGCCCAGACUGCUACGGGAGGCAGCAUUGGUGAAUAUUAGACAAUGGGCGCAAGCCUGAUCCAGCCAUGCCGCGUGGGUGAAGAAGGCCUUAGGGUUGUAAUCCCCUUUCAGCGGGGAAGAUAAUGACGGUACCCGCAGAAGAAGUCCCGGCUAACUCCGUGCCAGCCGCCGCCGUAACAC